UAGAUGGCUAUAUUGAAUAAGGAACAUUUAGCCUGAUGUACUAAAUUUGUCAGAGAAAUCCAAUUAAAAAAAAAAAAUGGUCAGAGCAAGAUAUGGCCAUUAGACAGAUUUACUGUAGAAAGUUAAUGGACCAUACUCAUAUGUCAAUUUGUUUUCAGAGCCACUGUGCUGAUAUGCAGCUUGAAUUUGUGCUGUCAGACCUACCUUCAGAGGCUGUGGAGAACACCAAGUUCUCUGGAGCAUACAAACCAAAUUGUGCUGCGUAUUUCCUUCAGUUCCUUACAGGAGGAAGGGUCUCCCUGGUGGAAGCAAUGGGUCGAUGGCAGAGGAAGAGAGUGAAGUGAACCAGCCCCUCCUUAUCGGCAUGUGUCCUGGCCCAGGGAGGUGAAACAAGCAUACUCUGUGCUUAGUAUUUUCACGGCUUCAUUAACCGUGCAGAUCAUCGGAAAAGCAGGAAAGAGGCCAACAAUCCACUGCAGCACAUUUGCCUGGGACGUCGUUUGACAGACACUCCUGAGCAUCUCAGAAAAAAAUGGCAUUCCCAAACUUCUUAAAACAAAGUGUUUCCCAGACACAGCCUUAUACAGACAGAAAUUUAAAAUGAAAAGGAGUGAAGCCCAUGGGUUUGGAGGUUGGAAGAUGAGGCCUGGCCCGUCUCGGCUACCAGUGGUCUGCGUGGGAUCUGGGGCGGUAUCACAUCACUUGUCUUGAUCUGAAAAAGGAGGGAGGUGGACCAGAGGAUUCUGCAAUGUCCCCUCCCCUUGGAGGAAUCUGUACAGUGUGACACUGUGUUCAUGGAGACCACUGUGACGUGCAACUGCACUUUCUAAUAGUGUGGUAACACACACAAGCAGCUGCACAAUUACUUAUGCACUCAUACCUAGGGG